CCCAAGAGAUCGGGAUAACACCUGGAAACAGAUGCUAAUACCGGAUAACAACAGAUGAUGCCUAUCAACUGUUUAAAAGAUGGUUCUGCUAUCACUCUUGGAUGGACCUGCGGUGCAUUAGCUAGUUGGUAGGGUAACGGCCUACCAAGGCGAUGAUGCAUAGCCGAGUUGAGAGACUGAUCGGCCACAUUGGGACUGAGACACGGCCCAAACUCCUACGGGAGGCAGCACC
rnacentral:rRNA from 1 species